UGUUAACCUUGUAGCGAGAAGGGCGCC
rnacentral:sRNA from 1 species